GUAAAUUGAUAAGCUUUUGCCACACCCAAGCAAAAAACAGCAAGAGUUAGGAGGUUAGGAGAUCUGGGGGAGGGGUAGAUGAUGAAGAAUUCAGACGUAUCUUUGCUAUGUGUUUUCUUCUUUCUGUUCCUUCUGUGCCUGUGCCUUAUGUCCAUGAAACCCUUGUCAAAUUUCUCUGUGUAAGUGCUGCCACGUCCUGACACAGUCCAGCAGUGUGAUGAAUUAACCGUUAAUAGUUAAACACCGUUCUGUGCUUUCUAUGUAAGAAAGUCUUUUUCCCCAAAGCUUCCGGAUUUGUCUAAAUUUUAUGCACUGGAGUGCAGUUUCAAGGUCUGCCUAAUGGGAAAUAACUGGUAUUCUGCUUUACCUUGAGCUCUAGCUAAACCAGGAGGUUUGCUGUCAGCAUCGCAGGAGAACGGAGGGAGCCUUCUGCACCAAACCGAAAAGCUUGCUGAUGAAGAUGGCGCUUCUGUGAAACGCGCGUCUGGAGAGCCAUUCAGAUUGUCCUUCUCAGGUGUGCUAGCAAUUCCAGAAGCAAGGCGCACAGGAGCCAGCUCUUAUUUAAGGAUUUCAGUCAUAUAUAUGUAUAAUUUUUAAUAAAUUUUAUUUGCAAACGGCA